rnacentral:rRNA from 1 species
UGGUACUUGUACCGACUGGAUGAGCAGCGAACGGGUGAGUAACGCGUGGGGAAUCUGCCUUUGAGCGGGGGACAACAUUUGGAAACGAAUGCUAAUACCGCAUAAAAACUUUAAACACAAGUUUUAAGUUUGAAAGAUGCAAUUGCAUCACUCAAAGAUGAUCCCGCGUUGUAUUAGCUAGUUGGUGAGGUAAAGGCUCACCAAGGCGAUGAUACAUAGCCGACCUGAGAGGGUGAUCGGCCACAUUGGGACUGAGACACGGCCCAAACUCCUACGGGAGGCAGCAGUAGGGAAUCUUCGGCAAUGGACGAAAGUCUGACCGAGCAACGCCGCGUGAGUGAAGAAGGUUUUCGGAUCGUAAAACUCUGUUGGUAGAGAAGAACGUUGGUGAGAGUGGAAAGCUCAUCAAGUGACGGUAACUACCCAGAAAGGGACGGCUAACUACGUGCCAGCAGCCGCGGUAAUACGUAGGUCCCGAGCGUUGUCCGGAUUUAUUGGGCGUAAAGCGAGCGCAGGUGGUUUAUUAAGUCUGGUGUAAAAGGCAGUGGCUCAACCAUUGUAUGCAUUGGAAACUGGUAGACUUGAGUGCAGGAGAGGAGAG